rnacentral:rRNA from 1 species
UUGAACGCUGGCGGCAUGCUUUACACCUGCAAGUCGAACGGCAGCGCGGGCUUCGGCCUGGCGGCGGGUGGCGAACGGGUGAGUAAUACAUCGGAACGUGCCCAGUAGUGGGGGAUAGCUCGGCGAAGGCCGGAUUAAUACCGCAUACGACCUGAGGGUGAAAGCGGGGGAUCUUCGGACCUCGCGCUAUUGGAGCGGCCGAUGGCAGAUUAGCUAGUUGGUGGGGUAAAGGCCUACCAAGGCGACGAUCUGUAGCUGGUCUGAGAGGACGACCAGCCACACUGGGACUGAGACACGGCCCAGACUCCUACGGGAGGCAGCAGUGGGGAAUUUUGGACAAUGGGCGAAAGCCUGAUCCAGCAAUGCCGCGUGUGUGAUGAAGGCCUUCGGGUUGUAAAGCACUUUUGGCGGGAACGAAAAGGACUGUGCCAAUACCACGGUUCGAUGACGGUACCCGCAGAAUAAGCACCGGCUAACUACGUG